CUACGGGAGGCAACAGUGGGGAAUAUUGCACAAUGGAGGAAACUCUGAUGCAGCAACGCCGCGUGGAGGAUGGCACUUUUCGGAGCGUAAACUCCUUUUAUAUAGGAAGAAGAUGACGGUACUAUAUGAAUAAGCGCCGGCUAACUCCGUGCCAGCAGCCGCGGUAAUACGGAGGGCGCAAGCGUUACUCGGAAUCACUGGGCGUAAAGAGCGUGUAGGCGGAUUAAAAAGUCAGAAGUGAAAUCCUAUAGCUUAACUAUAGAACUGCUUCUGAAACUCUUAAUCUAGAAUAUGGGAGAGGUAGAUGGAAUUUCUGGUGUAGGGGUAAAAUCCGUAGAGAUCAGAAGGAAUACCGAUUGCGAAGGCGAUCUACUAGAACAUUAUUGACGCUGAGACGCGAAAGCGUGGGGAGCAAACAGGAUUAGAUACCCUCGUAGUC
rnacentral:rRNA from 1 species